rnacentral:rRNA from 1 species
GACGAACGCUGGCGGCGUGCUUAACACAUGCAAGUCGAACGGAAAGGCCCUGCUUUUGUGGGGUGCUCGAGUGGCGAACGGGUGAGUAACACGUGAGUAACCUGCCCUUGACUUUGGGAUAACUUCAGGAAACUGGGGCUGAUACCGGAUAGGAGCUCCUGCUGCAUGGUGGGGGUUGGAAAGUUUCGGCGGUUGGGGAUGGACUCGCGGCUUAUCAGCUUGUUGGUGGGGUAGUGGCUUACCAAGGCUUUGACGGGUAGCCGGCCUGAGAGGGUGACCGGCCACAUUGGGACUGAGAUACGGCCCAGACUCCUACGGGAGGCAGCAGUGGGGAAUAUUGCACAAUGGGCGGAAGCCUGAUGCAGCAACGCCGCGUGUGGGAUGACGGCCUUCGGGUUGUAAACCGCUUUCGCCUGUGACGAAGCGUGAGUGACGGUAAUGGGUAAAGAAGCACCGGCUAACUACGUG